CUCCAAACACAAUCAGUCCUGCUAGUUCCAAAAAAAAAAAAAAAAAUGAAUGAGAAGGAGAAGAGUGGCAAGUAAUUGAAGGAAGAAACAAGCCCAGCAAGAAUUUGCAACCUCUCACUGAAAGAGCUGUCAAAAUUUCUCUCUCCAAGCGCUCUCUUUUGAAGAACUUUCUGGUUAACAGACUUCCAGAAAGACAGCCAGUAACAAUUUGUAACACUUGUUACAAAUUUUAGGGUAGGUAAGUUAGGUUGAAAGGAGGGGCGAAGCAAUUCGCCGCAUGCCCUCUUGGGCAUAUACUUAAGUCAGUAUAGGCCUAUUGUGCGCUCUAGACUAAGGGUUUUGAAGAAGGCGGGCAGUUUACAGUCUGUUAUAUUUGAAAUUCAGUUGGAGUCGUUCCCUAAGAAUUGGGAUCUGAUAUUUGCAAACGCUGGGCAUUGGCAGAGAAAAUGUUCCAAUGUUUCGCCAUCUUACUCACAUGCCCUGCAUAUGCUGUUUUCUGCACAUCCUAUCUUUUACAGAUGAGCUUGUAGGCCCAGGUGCCCCGUAAGGAUCCCUGUUACAUCACUGAUCUAUUUUACCUAGUAACGAAAUGUUUUUCGUUUUUAUCUCAUCGGGAUCGCCCCAUAAGAUUUUUGUGGUUCUCACUACACCCUCAUUGUUCAAUAGGGAUUUGUGUGCUUAUUUGCCCAUGUCUGUAACACUAGACGUGACGCAUUUAGCGGUACUGGAUUGUCUACGUUUAUUGUUGCUAAUUCCCUGCCUGUUUAGACGAGAGAGUUUGCUAUCUCGUUACCCCUAACUCCCGUAUGACCUGGUACCCAUAUAAUGCGUUUUACGCCGUGUUGAGAGUAGUUGUUAAUUGAAUUUAUACAUUCCAAUGCAGUUUUUGAAGUUACUGUUUUGGAUGUUAUAGCCCUUAUAGCUGCCUCGUGUUAGUAUUAAGCCAGUUCAGAUACUCAGCAAUUCGCGAACCUCCGCUUGCAGGAUCGUAUUGUGAUCGGGCAAGCGGAACGAGUUUUAGGUGUUUGUAUCCUCGAUAAAAAGUCCCAGUCCCGACCUCUCCCCUAGCACUGAGCCCUCUGUAUAACAACAGUUUCCAGUCGGCAUUUAUGUUAUGAAUCCGCCAAACCACGAGUCUCUGGUAGGGAUUAACGUUUCACAUGAGGCAGCUACAAAAGUUUCAGAUAUCCUGUUUGAUACAAAUAGAAUUGUCUCGAAUGCCCUAGUUGGUGUUGUCCUCAUUGCACCGCAGAUCCUUAAACAACACAUUCGUUGGACUUUCUGUAGUAUUUUGACGUAUGUUACGCUUUUGAAUAGCCAGUGUGUCAUCUUUGGAGUGAAACCCAAUUGAGAGCCUAUGGCCUUUCUACACGUUGCCCAACAUCUAUGAGCUUAGUUUGCUCUUUGGGGGGUAUGGUCCCUCCAAUUAAGUUUCCUAUCUAGAAUCACACUCGAUAUUUAAACUUAUUGGAAAUAUUAACUGUCUUGUUCAGAAAGACCGGUUCAACGAAAUGGUCAAGUUUUCUUUUCCUAGUGAAUAGACAUAUCUCAGUUUUUUCCGUGUUAACGUUAAGACCUUUCGGUCUGGUUCAGUUGUAUGCAAGUUUCAGAGCCGACUCGGGCGGAGAGGCACACGGAUAUAAUUUAAUCGACUUAGAAUUGUACUUUUAUCCAGAUUUCAUACAUUAUGGGAUAGAUGCUAUAGAUAUUUUUGAUAGAUGCUAUAGCUAUUAAGAUACUAAGUAUCAAUUUAAUGCUAUGCGAACAUUUCAAACGCUGACAACAGACCAUAAUUUGAAGGCAUUAUACGAUAUAUCAAAAACAUCCUGAGGCCCAGAAGGCAUUUACGGCUCAAGCCUCCCAUCCCGAUUGUGAUCAAGCCGACUCCGGUAGCCCCUACAAGCUCUAAGCCUGGAAAGGGCCACAGGGAAGCGGUCAAGCCACAAUCGACAAGCCAAACAGGACGGACGAGGAAGCAUUUCCAGACCAUCUACCAGGACAAUCUUCAAGUAGCGGUCAUCGAUAAGACUGUGCCAGAAGGUAAAAUCAGCGAGGGGCUGCUAAUUGAAGAUCGUCUCAGAGAACUGGUCUUUUUGGGAGAAGGGGACGCAAAAAGUUUGGCAGCGCUACCGUUUACAAUGGCGUGAAAAUUAUUUGCUGUGAAAACGAGGAAUCUAAAGAAUUCCUGAUCACCACAUUAGCUGGCUUUCACGAGCUUUGGCAAGGGUGCGGCUUAGCGGCUGUAUCAUUAAAGGAGAUCCCCUACUGUAAGGUAUUGACAGCGUGGGUGCCACCACCAUCGGUGGAUCCGGCACGCUCAGGAAACAAAAUCCCUACCUCAGAACAGACAACAGGCGUUCAAGCACUGAGGGGGGUGGUCUGGUCAUCAAUGUAUCUAUUGAUACGGAUGACCAGGAUUAUCUUCAAGUUCGUAGUACGCCUCUGCAUUAGGAGGAAGGAAACAGCAGCUACUUAGAAUCAUGCGGAUUAAUCUGCAUCACUGUAAAGCAGCCGUAGCCGAACUAUCCCUCACAAAAGAGGAAGUAGAUAUAGCCAUGGUUCAGGAACCCUAUAUAUACCACAAUAAGGUGACUGGACUAGAGAGAGGGCAGUACGUCUCUUACGCAGAAUUUAAUGGUGACAAGUGAAGGAUAUACUACAGUGGCGAGACUGGAGAUUAAAUCCGGGAGGGUCCUCAUCUUAAUCUACCUACCGUACGAUGUCAUCAGCACUGCUCAACAUACCUACAUGAAACGUAAAUCCGUUGAAACAGCUCAACACGAUGUUGUAGGGUACAUUGAAAAAAAGGAUGAACACAAUGGACCAGAAGGUCUCCGAGUGGAGCAGUUACCAAACUGGUGGCAACUUGAUAUGUCAGCCAAAUUGUUUUAAUCAUGGUAGAAUUAAGAAAUAAAGUCAUGCAAUCAUAUGUUUAAAAGUUUUUUCUUUUAAAUUACUCAUUUGACAACAUCUCAUUG